ensembl:lncRNA
CGGAAAGUCCUUAAUGAGGACGACUUUCUCAAAGCUGAUGAUGUAAUAGUACUGAAGAAGCAUUUUGUGGGAGUCAGGGUCCCAUCUACCUCUGUCUGGGCACACAGAGCUCCUGGCCUUGCAUCCUGCCUGAGAGGUGACCUGGAUUAUUGGCUUCCCUGGUCCCCACACGGUCCUGGAUUGCUUGGUUGCCCCUCAUUCCUGGUCUACCCUGUGCCUCAUGGUGUUUGCAGCUUCUAUGGGCUGAAUUUAAUCAGUGAUUCACUGGAGCUGGAUCUGAACCCAAACCACAGGGAAGCCCUGGGCACUGAGGACAAUAAGAGCAACAGACAACAUCUCCUCUACUGCUUCUCUCUCUGCUCCACAAGGCAAGGCAGCUCUCACACAGGAGGCAUCCAGCCUAACUCCCAGCAGGGAGAGUGUGAGAUGUCUGUGGAUGAGCCCACAUUACAGUACGAUUCUGUGGGAAGACAUCUGGUAGCUUCUGAUGCAGCUGCAGCAGUCAGGACACAUGGAACUACAGUGGAGGAACUACCCAGAGACCUUCACAGGAGUGUAGUUCAUGCUAAUCAGAAUGCAGGGCUGGAGAUCAAAUUCUGGGUUGAAGAGGCAGAGAACAACCACAGAGGUGACCAGUAUGUCCUUAGCCUGGACAACAAGUGUCUGCUCAAUCAUACAGACAGCUCACGACUAUCUCACCAAGUGAAACCUGAGACUGCACACUGGUGGACCACCUGGUUCCUCAAGAGGUUAGCUCUCUCAAUGGCAUGAAGUUCAGGUGCUACCUCUUCCUAUACUGGCCUGGUGAAGACAGAACCCUGGAGGACAUUGUGGUCUGGGCAAGAGAUAUACAGCAGCCCUUUCUGUGCCAGCCAGCCUUGAAAGUUGCUUGAGAUCAUUCCAGCAUGACCAGUCUCCAGCCUUUUCCAAGCAAGUAAGUUGUUGCCCCUUACCACUUCUGCCCACCACAUCAGUCGCCUUUCCCUACCCACUUGUAGGAGAUGGGACUAGCUCUGACUUAAUCAUAGGGCUUUGGAUGGGCUCUAUUUUUCCUGUUUCUGGUUGUAAGCUACUAGGAUUCUCAGGAGCAUAAGUGUAUGAGAGAAACAAGUGUCUUGUUAGCCCUGAAGCAGCUUGGGCUCUGGUCUUAUCUGCUAGAGAUGUCGUGAAGGGACAUGGGCAGUAGAGGGAGGUCUAUGACUGCAAAGCCUGCCUAGGCUCCAAGAACCCAAACUGGGUACUGCAGAAUUUCCUAGAUCACAGCUCUGCAGUUACCCUUCUCAUGUCUUGGUUUUAACUACUGCACCCAACACAAAGCCUCCCUUGCAGUAUGUCUCAGAUCCAUUUGAGACUCCGCAAACCAGACAUCUUUGUAUGGAAUGGAAAAGAACCCUUACUGCACAUCUCAGGUUGUGGAGGCUGGUCCAUCCUGUCUGACAGUGUUUCUGAGUCACUGGUAUAGGGCUGUUUGGGGUCUCCUCUCCUCACCUUAGCCAAGGAGGUCCAGGGUCAUCAAGCAGGUACAGUCCAUGGGCUCUGAUAUGGUUCAUGGUAUGUUAUCUACUCAUGGAACCCUCAAGAUUUCUUUACUGCCCAGGGUCCAAAGAAGUAUUUGAUGUCCCUUUACUUGGAUGAGAGGAGACUUGAAUGUCACUGCUGCUCACAGGUUCUUGGUAUUUGAGCCCAAUAGUGUAUGCCUUUUUGUGAGUCAUAUCUGCACGUCCUCCUAACAUCUGUUAGAGUAGAGGAAGUCUGUCUGGCUGGGUGGGGCAGUACCUCCUCAUCUAGGCCUUCUUGUGUGCAUCUUGACCUCGGCCAGAACAUGUGGAGUUGGGACAACCAUUCAGGAUGUCAGCUGAUGCAAUGCCUCACACAGAGGUGCUGGCAGAACUGAGGGUUCUAUUCCCUGGACAUUGUGACACGAAACAGACUGAGAACAGUGGGAAGAGGAGGGUCCACAAGACUAGCUCAGGCUCCAAUCUCUAAAGAUCAGAUUUCAUCUUUCGUGCAAAAUCUGGUGAAGUAGUCCUGUACGAGACGCAUAUUACCUUCCAUUAGAAAACCUUUGGGAACAAAAACCCUAGUGUAAAGUGGGAUCUGUGCCAACUGUGGGUGCCUGGCAUCGGUCAGGUCUGGUGUCAGGAUAGGCCCAUCCACAGACAUACACAGGCACACACACACACACACAAACACACACACACACACACACACACACACAAACAAACACAUCAGUUCAUGCAAGCCUACACCCCCCCCCAAUCACCUGCUAUCUUGGGAUUUGUCCAGGCUGCCUCAACUUAGCUUCUUCCCAACACAUAUGUCCCUAAAUUGUGUGAACCAGGGGUGGUCACUCCCCUUGCUGGGUUCCCUAUUCCUCAAGUUCAGGUGAGGUCACUCUGCUCCUCCUGAUCCUUUCCUUGUCUAGAGCUUGUCACUUGACCUUCUGGUUCACAAGUGCGCCCAAGGAAGGAAUAAUCCAUGUCUCCAUGUUUACUUGGUUGCCCAUACUGCUGAUUCAUGGCAGGAGUCAAGUGUGGAAGGGUACUUGACAGGGUCUUGGU